AUUUUGAUUGGUGUUGGGUGUAUUUUCCAGUGAGAGACUGGGGAGUGCUGGGUCGUGUAGAAGUGGCUGAACCCAGAAGGUGGAGAGGAGACGUUGUCCCGACUGCACAGAGGCUGCUCUGCAGUUCUUAAAGGGGCUAGGCGUGACCCGCACCAAGGCCGGGAUCGGGACCACCGUGCCCAGCUACCGGCCCUGCUCGCACCCUCCUUUCGACCCCGCUUUCCCCACCCAGUCGGAUGGCGGCGGCCGCGCUGAGGCCCCCGGCUCAGAGACGCGAUUUCACCAUAUUGGCUAGGCUGGUCUCGAACUCCUGACCUCAUGAUCCACCUGCCUCAGCCUCCCAAAGUGCUAGGAUUACAGGUGUGAGCCACCGUGCCCGUCCAGGACUGGUCUUUAAAUGGCAAUGGUAUUAGGUGAAUGGAAGUUGGUCCGUGUUGCUGAAGGGGCACUGUGACCUUUGAAGAUGUGGCUGUGAACUUUUCCCAGGAGGAAUGGAGUCUCCUUA
rnacentral:sRNA from 1 species